rnacentral:rRNA from 2 species
GACCUCGAAUCAGGUA